UACGUGGGGUCCAAGCGUUGUCCGGAAUCACUGGGCGUAAAGCGGGUGUAGGUGGCUCUAUAAGUCAGAUGUGAAAGCCCCGGGCUCAACCCGGGAAGUGCAUGUGAUACUGCAGAGCUUGAGUAAGGGAGAGGAUGGCAGAAUUCCUGGUGUAGUGGUGAAAUACGUAGAUAUCAGGAGGAACUCCGGUGGCGAAGGCGGCCAUCUGGCCCAUUACUGACACUCAGACCCGAAAGCGUGGGUAGCAAACAGG
rnacentral:rRNA from 1 species